GACGAACGCUGGCGGCGUGCUUAACACAUGCAAGUCGAACGGAAAGGCCCUGCUUUUGUGGGGUGCUCGAGUGGCGAACGGGUGAGUAACACGUGAGUAACCUGCCCUUGACUUUGGGAUAACUUCAGGAAACUGGGGCUAAUACCGGAUAGGAGCUCCUGCUGCAUGGUGGGGGUUGGAAAGUUUCGGCGGUUGGGGAUGGACUCGCGGCUUAUCAGCUUGUUGGUGGGGUAGUGGCUUACCAAGGCUUUGACGGGUAGCCGGCCUGAGGGGGUGACCGGGGACAUUGGGGGGGAGAAGGCGCGAGAGGGCGACGGGGCGGAAGGGGGGGGGGAUAUGGCACAGGGGGCGAGGGGGGGAAGCAGGAGGGACGGGGGCGGAAGGGGGGGUUGCGGGUUGAAAACACGUCGCGCGCGGGAGGAAGGGUGAGGGGUGGAAAAGGGUAAAGAGGCGCGGCAAACCGAGG
rnacentral:rRNA from 1 species